CUGGCCUGAGGAAGGAGUGUGAAGGGAUGAAUGAAAAGUCCGGAGCCUGAGAGCGCCCCCGCCAGAGCAGCGGCCGAGGCUGAGGAGGGAGCUGGGACUCGAGACCCCGCUCCACCCUGCCGGCUCCGGCUCGGCCUCGUCCGUCACCUGGUAAGCCCGGGUACCCUCGACUCAGUCCGCGGAGUUGCCUGGGUGGGAACGCACCGGAAGACUGCGCAGGACAGCACCACUGGGCACCCUGGGCUUGAUCUUCUCCCCUGGGCGGGUGGGUGCUCCACCCUCCCGCCCUCUCCGCUCUGUGGACAAGGACGUGAGGACCAGAGACAUCCAGCACCACGGACAGCUCCCAGCGAUGACCCAGAAAGCCAGGUGUGGUGCUUCACACCUGUAAUCUCAGCACCUGGACAUCUGGGGCAGAAGAAUGAAGGUGAGGAAUCGCUGUCUUGGCUAGAAGAGUCCUUGGUGCUGAGCAGGGCCAGCUGGCUGAGAAGCAGGCCAAAGAGAAGACCUGACCUGGCCCCAAGCUCCCCAAGGGCAAAGUGUGUUCCCAGAUUGAGAAGGGGCUGCCUCCAGCAAACAGAUGUGAACAGAGGCAGAGGGCACCACCCGGCAGCUUCUCCCCAAGCUAUGGAAUGCGGGCUUUGCUCACCUGGUCACUUCCAGCAAGUUGUCCCACCCGGCCCAUCUAUUUCUCCUGUUGCCUCUCGGCUGCAUCCCUAAAUCCUACCCCAUGUCCAAUAAAGAGUGUUGCAGACUGAACAGCAG
rnacentral:lncRNA from 1 species